CAAAAACCCUCUAUAAUAGAAGAGAAGCUCAAGAUUUCAACAUUUGCUGAAGGGAGUUGCAGACAGAUGUAGAAAACUGCUUUUCAAACUUUCCACAUUUAUCACAGUUAUUUUAAGAUGUUGACAUCCAAACAUUUGUCCAUGCUAAUGGCCGAGCAGUAGGAUUGGAACAGACCUGUCAGAAAACAUCUCUGAACCAUAUGACUAAUUUCAAAACAAUUUAUUCUUGAGAGGAGGCACCACAGUUAAAGACAGUGUUUUGAAGAAUUAUGAACUUCCUGCUCACAAACUACAUGCUUCUCCAGUUAGUCUGACAGGCUAUCAAUGAGAAGGCGGCAUUACAGGACACCACUGAAAACUAUACCACUAAAAACUGAUUAUUGCUGCAGUCAGAAGAAACAGAUUAACAGCAACUAUCUGCUAGAGACCAAGAGAUUGAGCACUGGGUUAAGACAUGGUUGCAGCUUGCCACAGACAGAGAUGAAGGUCGUUGGGCAAAAGAGAAGAUUUUAAAGGCAUAGCUCACCCAAAAAUGGAAACUCAUUUACUUACCAUCAAGAUGUUUCAAACUCUAUCAAAUGUAUUUGUUCAGUUACUGACUGUUAUAAAUUAUACAGGUUUGGAACAACCUUUGGGUGAGCAAAAUUACAGUUUUAAUUUUAAUUAGUGAACUAUCCCUAUUGUGAUUUUUAUAAGUUUAUUAAGAAAUGUUGAGUAUUAUAUCAGAGUUUUGUAUGUAAGGAGAUGGUAGUUGUACGUUUGUGUGUUAAUAUAGAUGGUUUCAGUGGCAACAUAAACAAAUCACUUUCAUGGCCCAAACUUAACUUCGGGUAGACCUCCACAUAGAUUCAAUAACAACCGAGUAUCUCUGGAGCAGUUUUUUUUCUGAUAACAAACAAAAUAAAUAACCAGUAAAUAACCUUAGAUCAAAUCAUAGCUAAAGCAUUUCAACCAUUACAUUGAUCUAAUGUUACUGUGUAAAAUUAAGCUUUACAAUUUUAGCUACAGAUCUUUGAAAAUGUUUGUACGGUAUACUGUCCAUUUCCAGAAAGGUAAUAAAAACAGCAUGCACAGUAACGCUGCUGACGUGUUAUCCUCAGCCAUGUUUGUGAAGAUUGUUUUGUUUAUAGCGUGCAUCUCCCUCAGACUGUUAAAAAAAGCUUGGGAACAAGAAAAAGCUUGGGCAAACAAGAUAACAUGUCAGCAGCGUCACUCCAGUGUUGUGCACGAGGUUCACAACAGACCUGGAAGAGAAGACGAUGCUGAAUAAAGUCAUAAUUUUUGUUAUUUUUGGACCAAAAUUUAUUUUCGAUGCUUCUAACUGACCCACUGAUAUCACAUGGACUACUUUGAUGAUGUUUUUAUUACCUUUCUGGACAUGUACAGUAUAUAUUUGAUGGUGUAUAUACACAUCUAAAACAUCUUAAACUGUUUCCGAAGAUGAACGGAGGUGUUACGGGUUUGGAAUGACAUGAGGGUCAUUAAUUACAUAAUUUUCAUUUUGGAUGAAAUAACCCUUUAAGUUAGGCCAGGCGUGUAACUGUG